CCUACGGGGGGCAGCAGUGGGGAAUAUUGGACAAUGGGGGGAACCCUGAUCCAGCGACGCCGCGUGAGUGAAGAAGUAUUUCGGUAUGUAAAGCUCUAUCAGCAGGGAAGAAAAUGACGGUACCUGACUAAGCAGCCCCGGCUAACUACGUGCCAGCAGCCGCGGUAAUACGUAGGGGGCAAGCGUUAUCCGGAUUUACUGGGUGUAAAGGGAGCGUAGACGGUGAUGCAAGUCAGAAGUGAAAGCCGGGGGCUCAACUCCGGGACUGCUUUUGAAACUGUGUGACUGGAGUGCAGGAGAGGUGAGCGGAAUUCCUGGUGUAGCGGUGAAAUGCGUAGAUAUCAGGAGGAACACCAGUGGCGAAGGCGGCUUACUGGACUGUAACUGACGUUGAGGCUCGAAAGCGUGGGGAGCAAACAGGAUUAGAUACCCGAGUAGUC
rnacentral:rRNA from 1 species